GAGGCGGGGCCGCGCGAUAAAAGAGGGAGGGGCGAAACCUGAGGAGGAGGAGGAGUUGAAGGGGCGGGGCUCUGCUGGUCACCUGAAAUGGUUGGUGGUCUGUCAAGCGCCUUCCCGCCUCUUCUCUAAAGCAGCUCAUCGUGGAGAAUUAAAGCAGGGGCUCAGGACUCAGAAACAGCUCUCUGGUGGGCUGUAUGGUACUUCAGACAGCAAAGAUGCCAGCAGAUUAUAUUGGCUACCAGAUGGUAAUUCGGAAGGCCAGCUGACUUAGGGCAGCCUUGGGAAGACCUUAAUUGCUGCUCUGUAUCCCUCUCUGGAGAGUAAACCUGUUCAGGAGUGGAGCCUCCCAGAGGAGGAAACAGAGAUGUUCCUUUUUGCAGCUAGCCUGAUGCUGAAUGGAGGAAGAUACUGAGGGUACACUUCCUAGUCCUCAAAACUAUCAGCAGAAUCAUCAAGGACAAACAUUCAGAAUAUCAGCUGCUUCCAGCUACUGAGAUGAAG